rnacentral:rRNA from 1 species
UUGGGAAUGUACCUUAUGGUGGGGGACAAAGUUAGGAAAACGACUGCUAAUACCGCAUAAUGUCUUCGGACCAAAGCGGGGGACCUUCGGGCCUCGCGCCAUAAGAUCAGCCCAAGUGGGAUUAGCUAGUUGGUGAGGUAAUGGCUCACCAAGGCGACGAUCCCUAGCUGGUUUGAGAGGAUGAUCAGCCACACUGGGACUGAGACACGGCCCAGACUCCUACGGGAGGCAGCAGUGGGGAAUAUUGCACAAUGGGCGCAAGCCUGAUGCAGCCAUGCCGCGUGUGUGAAGAAGGCCUUCGGGUUGUAAAGCACUUUCAGUAAGGAGGAAAGGUUGGAUGUUAAUAGCAUUCAGCUGUGACGUUACUUACAGAAGAAGCACCGGCUAACUCCGUGCCAGCAGCCGCGGUAAUACGGAGGGUGCGAGCGUUAAUCGGAAUUACUGGGCGUAAAGCGUACGCAGGCGGUUUGUUAAGCGAGAUGUGAAAGCCCCGGGCUCAACCUGGGAACUGCAUUUCGAACUGGCAAACUAGAGUGCGAUAGAGGGUGGUAGAAUUUCAGGUGUAGCGGUGAAAUGCGUAGAAGACCUGAAAGGAAUACCCGAUGGCGGAAGGCAGCC